rnacentral:rRNA from 1 species
GAUGAACGCUGGCGGCGUGCCUAAUACAUGCCAGUCGAGCGAACGGACGAGAAGCUUGCUUCUCUGAUGUUAGCGGCGGACGGGUGAGUAACACGUGGAUAACCUACCUAUAAGACUGGGAUAACUUCGGGAAACCGGAGCUAAUACCGGAUAAUAUUUUGAACCGCAUGGUUCAAAAGUAAAAGACGGUCUUGCUGUCACUUAUAGAUGGAUCCGCGCUGCAUUAGCUAGUUGGUAAGGUAACGGCUUACCAAUGCAACGAUGCAUAGCCGACCUGAGAGGGUGAUCGGCCACACUGGAACUGAGACACGGUCCAGACUCCUACGGGAGGCAGCAGUAGGGAAUCUUCCGCAAUGGGCGAAAGCCUGACGUAGCAACGCCGCGUGAGUGAUGAAGGUCUUCGGAUCGUAAAACUCUGUUAUUAGGGAAGAACAUAUGUGUAAGUAACUGUGCACAUCUUGACGGUACCUAAUCAGAAAGCCACGGCUAACUACGUG